rnacentral:RNase_P_RNA from 1 species
CGAGUCGGCCGGGCGGUCGCGUCAGCUUCGUGCCCAGCACGCAGUUGCCGAGGAACGUCCGGACUCCACAGGGCAGGGUGGUUGCUAACGGCAACCCGGGGUGACCCGCGGGACAGUGCCACAGAAAGCAAACCGCCGCGCUUCGGCGCGGUAAGGGUGAAACGGUGGGGUAAGAGCCCACCAGCGCUCCGGGUGACCGGAGCGGCUCGGUAAACCCCACCCGGAGCAAGGCCAAGAUAGAGCCGCCACCGCGAGGCGGCGGCUCGCGCAGGCGUUCGAGGGCGGCCCGCCCGAUGCCUGCGGGUAGGCCGCUGGAGCCUGCCGGCGACGGUAGGCCGAGAUGGAUGGCCGCCACCGGCGGCACAUGCCGCCGGGACAGAAUCCGGCGUACAGGCCGACUCGUCCG